UACGAGGGGGGGCAAAUGUUGUUCGGAAUCACUGGGCGUAAAGGGCGCGUAGGCGGUCAGCACAAGUCAGUUGUGAAAUCUCCGGGCUUAACUCGGAAAGGUCAACUGAUACUGUGCGACUAGAGUGCAGAAGGGGCAACUGGAAUUCUCGGUGUAGCGGUGAAAUGCGUAGAUAUCGAGAGGAACACCUGCGGCGAAGGCGGGUUGCUGGGCUGACACUGACGCUGAUGCGCGAAAGCCAGGGGAGCGAACGGG
rnacentral:rRNA from 1 species